UCGGGAAUUUUGGGCAAUGGGCGAAAGCCUGACCCAGCAACGCCGCGUGAAGGAUGAAGUAUUUCGGUAUGUAAACUUCGAAAGAAUAGGAAGAAUAAAUGACGGUACUAUUUAUAAGGUCCGGCUAACUACGUGCCAGCAGCCGCGGUAAUACGUAGGGACCAAGCGUUGUUCGGAUUUACUGGGCGUAAAGGGCGCGUAGGCGGCAAUUCAAGUCAUCUGUGAAAUCUCCGGGCUUAACUCGGAACGGUCAGAUGAUACUGCUUUGCUAGAGUGCAGAAGGGGCAAUCGGAAUUCUUGGUGUAGCGGUGAAAUGCGUAGAUAUCAAGAGGAACACCUGAGGUGAAGACGGGUUGCUGGGCUGACACUGACGCUGAGGCGCGAAAGCCAGGGGAGCAAACAGGAUUAGAUACCCACGUAGUCCCUGAGCGGGCUGGCAAGGCGCAU
rnacentral:rRNA from 1 species